GUCAGACAUUAACAUCUAAUAUGUAAUAUCUAGUGAUAUGUUUUCUUAGAUAAUGCUGUGAACAAAUGCUCUUUUACCUUGAAUAUUAGGUGGAUCCACACUUGAACCAUCUGUAUGAUGAUCUGCACCCACUGGAUCUGUAAAUGGUGGUGCAGGUUUCUGAAUUGAUGUCAGAUGCAAAGCAGAAGCUUAUUUUCUUCCAGUUUGGCUUCAUUGUGGAAAAAUGCUUGAAACUAAAAUGCAGAAUUCUGGCCUGGUGUUUGGUCCCCACUUUCUCUGGCUUGUGUCUCCAUCAUCAUUACACUCUUGUCAGUGUAAUAGUAUCGUCGUCUGCGUACCAGGACUUUGUUACUCAGCUGUCCCUUCUCCUUCAAGC